UACGAAGGGGGCUAGCGUUGCUCGGAAUCACUGGGCGUAAAGCGCGCGUAGGCGGCCGCUUAAGUCGGAUGUGAAAGCCCCUGGCUCAACUGGGGAAGUGCACCCGAAACUGAGUGGCUUGAGUACUAAAGAGGGUCGCGGAAUUCCCGGUGUAGAGGUGAAAUUCGUAGAUAUCGGGAGGAACACCGGUGGCGAAGGCGGCGACCUGGGUAGAUACUGACGCUGAGGCGCGAAAGCGUGGGGAGCAAACAGG
rnacentral:rRNA from 1 species